rnacentral:misc_RNA from 1 species
AAGUCGUAACAAGGUUUCCGUAGGUGAACCUGCGGAAGGAUCAUUAUUGAACAAUCAAACCAAUGUGGAUUAGUUGUAGCUGGUCUCUCGGGGCAUGUGCACGCUUUUCUGCAAUUGUUCUCCAUCCACCUGUGAACAUUUUGUAGAUUUGCGAGGGAUAGAAAGAAGGGUAACCUUCUGACGAAGACUCGCGGUCUAUGUUUUAUAAACACUAAUGAAAGUCUAAGAAUGUCUUGUUAUAUUCAAACAUAAAUAUAA